rnacentral:rRNA from 1 species
AACGAACGCUGGCGGCAGGCUUAACACAUGCAAGUCGAGCGCCCCGCAAGGGGGAGCGGCAGACGGGUGAGUAACGCGUGGGAAACUACCCUUUGGUACGGAAUAACACAGAGAAAUUUGUGCUAAUACCGUAUGUGCCCUUCGGGGGAAAGAUUUAUCGCCAUAGGAUGUGCCCGCGUAGGAUUAGCUAGUUGGUGUGGUAAUGGCGCACCAAGGCGACGAUCCUUAGCUGGUCUGAGAGGAUGAUCAGCCACACUGGGACUGAGACACGGCCCAGACUCCUACGGGAGGCAGCAGUGGGGAAUAUUGGACAAUGGGCGCAAGCCUGAUCCAGCCAUGCCGCGUGAGUGAUGAAGGCCUUAGGGUUGUAAAGCUCUUUCACCCACGACGAUAAUGACGGUAGUGGGAGAAGAAGCCCCGGCUAACUUCGUG